GGGCAGAUUUAAGUUUAUGAUAACUACAAAAAUAUUGUUCAGUCUAACAUCAUAUUAGCAUGCUGUAUAGUUACCUCUGAGCACACAAAGCAUAAAUGUGCAUGAAUAUUUCUAAAUAACUUCAAAGGUUUGGUAUAAAAAGUAAGUUUUAUAAAAUAGUGAAUUAUAUUGUAUUAGAUCAUAUCAUACUUUUUAAAGUCAUUAGACCCUUACAUUCACUGUUUCAUUUCGAGUAUGUUCAAAAUUUCUAACGAGGAUAUCUUAGUGUUCCAUAAUUACUGUCAACAUUAGUCUUAAUUCUAUAUUUGCCUCAAACACAUAUGGGAAAAUUUAAUAAAUAAUAAUAAUAAUAAUAAUAAUAAUAAUAAUAAUAAUAAUAAUAAUCAUAAUCAUAAUAAUAAUAAUAAUAAUAAUAAUUGUUAUUAUUAUUAUUAUUAUUAUUAUUAUUACUCUGGAAGAUCAUAUAAGUCAUUUGGAGAAGGGGGAGAGUCAUGGAACAGUGGCAGUUUGCAGCAGGGGUCUGGAUCCCAAAGGAGGAAAACUCAACCACCAUGGAACAGUUCAGGAUCAUCUCACUUCUCAGUGUUGAGGGCAAGGUGUUUUUCAGCAUUGUUUUUAGCAUUUAAUUUUUAUAACACACACUGAAAUAAGACAGCAUAUCGUAUUAUAUGAUGACUUAUAUCAUGGAUUACACUUUUUCUGACAGAGGAGCUGAGGCAACCCCUCCAUCACUGACCCCCACUAAAGCACAGGCAGGCUGCUCAACCCCAAAGGCUCCCCAGAGUGUACAAAGAAGCAGCAGACACCCUGCUUCUCGUCCACCCUUGCUGUCAAGCCCUCCAUUAAGGUAAGCUGAUGUGUGUCCUGUAAUAUGAAUAAAGGAGCUGCAUUCACAAUGUUCUGAUUGUGUCACAGUGAGGAGGAUGCAUACAGGGAGGAUGCAGACGACGCCCCUGCAAGACAGAAGGCAGCUGCCCUGCAGCAAAGAAGGUCAGGUCCUUCAUCUAAUGGAGGGAGUGAGAGGUGGUGCUCUCAAGAGGAAAAGGAUGAAGAGCCUGCCAAGAUGAAGUUUGAGCCAAAACGGCCACCAGGUCCUCAAAUUGACUCUCAGAGAUCCUGGACCCCGUUAAAAACUAUUGACUUUGAAUGCAUGGUUGGUGUUUUCAGAGUUAAUUGGAUCAAGUCAUUUUUAGCUAACCCUGACUCCAUAUAGUUUGCUAUCCCCAAAGGUAUUUUUGAUCAAGUGGGAGGACUGGAUUUUCUUUUGAGGUGUGAUUUUGAAAUAUCCAAAUUGCCUGUAAAAUUGUCUGAAUACCACAAACAGAUUCUCCAUUAUUGGAAGAUGGUGUUUACCCAUAACUUUUCUCCACAUGGCUCCACCCUAUGGAAUAACAGAGCUAUUACAUCUAACAGAAAAACUUUAUUCAUUCAAAGUUGGUAUGAAAAAGAUAUCAUUUUCAUCACAGACAUACUCGAUGGUCAUGGUCAGUUCCUUAGCUUCACUGAGUUCAAAACCAAAUAAAACAUUCAAAAUUCAAAUAGAGUUCUAAUAUUGUCAUUUUCUUUUUAUAUAAAUUCCAAAGGCAGGCCUUGCUGUAAGUUUCGUGUUUUAUUUCUUCUCUUUUCUACAUUAUGUUGUUCGCAUGUACUUGUCUCCCAUUGAGAGUUUGUAAAUUUUUUGAAUAUGUUAAAAAAAAAAAAGAUUAGGCUAGCUGCCGCCAUGAUAUUUGGGAUUAGCUGUUUGCACUUGCCUUCCUUUGGCUUGUUUUCAGUCAUUUCUUGUGUUGACUGCUCAUUGCUGUUUUCAACGAGGUUAAUGUCGCAUCUUUUGACAUUCUUCUUCGUUGUUAUUUUACGCACUUUCCCUGAUCUGGUAGACAUGUUGGUUGAACACGAGGUCACCGACAGAAUCACUGCGCAUUUGAGUGUCGUGUUUUGAUCAGGCGGAGGAGUCAUUUAGAUGAUACCCAUUGAGGGACAACCUGAUAUUUUUUUUAAUUGACAUCUUAAUUUUUCAACAAAUUAAACAAAAAAUAUUGCCAGUCUUAUCUCUUGUAUAUUUUUUGUUGAUCUGUAACUUUGUCAGAGUUACCGGCGCGGGCAACCGAGCGGGCAGCUAUGCUAGGGGUCCGACGUGCGUGAUGUAGUUGUAGUUGUUUGCCGGUUACCAUGGUUACCAAGACGUUACUGACGCUGCGGCUGUCAAGCCGGGGUUUUUAUGGCGGGAUCGGGCAGGAUACAGCCAUUUCUGGGGCGCAACUGGCAUUACGUGCAAAAUGAGACCCUUAAGCAGAGAGUUUCGAAUGUUAAGUGAGGGCCCCAAUAGCCCAGAAAACAUUUGAAAUUAAUUAAGUGGCUUCAGAAAAAACACACUCUGAAACAUAAAAUGAAAUGCAGAGUUUGCAAAGGAAAAAUGAAGUUGGCAAAGAAGACUGGUGGGGACUACUAUGAAUGGUAAGUUUUUUUUCCUUUUUAAGUUUAUUUAAAAUUUUACUCCUAAAAUGACUUGAUUCAAUAGACUACUCUUUUGGCAAUAUUCAAAGCCUGUUGUUGCAAUUCACAUGAUAUGCCGAAAGGGUUAUAAUCACAAUGCGAAAGUGAAGAAGUCUGUGAGGCACAAAUCAAUUUUCAGCCAGUCAAAGUUAUCCCUUUUUGAUUGGUCACACUUCAUUUACAGGUAGGUUUAUGGCACCAUAAUAUCAUAAUAACAUUUAUGUGGUAGGCUAAAUAUGUGAAGUGUAUGUUUAUACAUUAUGUAGCCUACCUUGCUGGUUGGUUAUGGUCAGUUUUAAUGCCACAACAUAGUCAUUCAAAGACAUACAAUUUACAUGGUUUAUGUUUCAGGUUCUCACAAGGUCUACAUUUCCAUCAAGUGGACAUGAUGAUGGACGACAUCUCACGCAGUCAACAAUCCCUAACAAGGAUGGCAAAACAGUUACGUCAAGUUUGUCUUUGGGCAAUAAAGAAAAGAAAGAGACAAAAAGGACAACAAUUGAGGGGGAGACGAGAGUAUGUGGUGAUUGAUGAGAGCCAUUUCAGACACAAAAGAAAGGUAAGAAAAUAUGUGAAACAAUAUUGCUGAAAAUAUCUUGAAACUGACUGAGAAAAUGUUAGGCACCUUGGAAAUAACUGUCAUUAGCAACCAUCAUCAUUACCUCUGUGAAGGGCGUGGUUUUCAUACCCACUGGAGUGAUAGUCUAAAUGUUAUUUGUAUGCAAAUUGUGAAUGUUAAUGUUAAUGUAACAAUGCUAGAAAUCUUCUUCAAUAGUACAGACAUGGUAAACUGUACAAAAUAAAAAAAUACAUAAAUUUUUCAGCCCAAGUCGUUUUUCGUUGUGACACAUACCCCCAUUAAAGUGCUACAGAUGUUACAUAUUAAUAAUAAACGGUGUAACAAAUAGAACCAAUAGUUACUAAUACAUUACUUAACUAUUAGUUAUGCUCAACCAACUCUACUAUAAGGGUCCCAAAUUCCAACAGUAAUACAUUACAUAAUUAUUAGUUAUGCUCAGCCAACUCUACUAUAAGGGUCCCAAACACCAAUAGUUAUACAUUACUUAACUAUUAGUUAUGCACAACCAAACAUCCAACAUAACAUUAGAUAAUAGACUCUUUGCUUUUUGUUUUAAUAAUCACAUGUUGUUAUUACACAAUUAAGUAAUACUCAAAUAAUAGUGGGAAAAUUAUUAACUUGUGCCAAAUAGACACAUAGGUAAUAAUUAGCAACCGUUACUUAAGUCUUAGUUAGUAGCUACUUGACUGUUUAUUGUGGCCCUUUAUUUGGAAGUGUUACCACUUUUUUUUUUCUACAUCAGUCAUUGCCACCCUCAUUAGGCACACAAACAAACAGGCACAAAACUAAAAACAUCGGAAAGAAAUUCAAGUGGUUUCCUCUUACAUCCAGGGAGUUUUUCAUUUUUUUGGCUAUUGUUGUUUUUGAUGGACUGCUCAGAGUCCACGAGAGGCCUGACUUGUGGAGGACAUCUUUCCCCUUUGGUCUCCCAUUCCCUCGCUGCCAUGAGUUGAGCUCUGGAAUGGCUUAAUAACGAGCUGAUCAUUUGAAUCAGGUGUGUUGGAGCAGGGAAACAUCCAAAACAUGCAGGACAGUGGGGGCUCGAGGACUGGACUUGAGAACCACUGGUGUAGGGAAAGGUGCUUUCACAUCGGAUUUGGGUCUGAGUUAUGCUUUUGUUUUGAGACUGUUGGACUUUCCUUUGCUGGGGAAAGGAUACCAUCUCUAUAAUGACAACUUUUAAACCAGCCCUCUCCUGUACAAGGACCUGGCUGAGAAGAAAAUCGGGGCCUUUAGGACUAUUAGGCAGAUGAGAAUUGGCUAUCAAAAACUAAAGAAAACGACUUCCCAAAGAAUGCAAGAUGAGGUGAUGUGUGUUGGCUGAGGAACGAUGGUGUUCUUUUUGUUAAGUGGAAAGACCCAAGAGAGGUGACUGUGGGAACUUGGUGAUGCGAAAAUUGAAGGAGGCUGAUGGCUGGUCCAAGA